GAGUAUGGCCAUACCACCCUGAACGCGGCUGAUCUUGUCUGAUCUCAGAAGCUAAGCAGUGUCGGGCCUGGUUAGUACUUGGAUGGGAGGAAUAGAUCUUGAAUUUU
rnacentral:rRNA from 1 species